AGAGCGUACUUAUCUGGGGGUAAAUGAUGAGUCAGCUCUGCCCAGAAAUGAAAGUGUUUAAUGAAGUCCUUUGCAAGAGGCCCCACAGAAUCUCUUCUUGGGGUAGCCAGAGUUGGGUAACGCCAUCUAAAGGUUAGCCUUGGCUUCUGAGUUUUAAAAUGCCUGGUCCCCAGGGUAGCAUGGACGUGGGUGAGCAUGGAGAUGGGUGUGGCAAACCUCCACUGCUGUCUUGGGGGCAGCAUGAGGUGCAGAAAACCAUUUCACAGCCAGACAGAUGCGCCAGGCAAGACGUGACAGAAGUGCUGGGCUGGCCGGGGGCCAGAAUUGUCCCCUAGAAUUGAGAGCUUAGCCUUCGUCCUGGAGGGCAACUUUCUUCUGUAUCUUCUUCUCUCAGCUGUAGUCACUGUUGCCUGUAAAAAAGCAAAAAGCAAACCAAUUACCAGGUCUAAUUAUCUCCCUUCAGCCUCCUCCUGGCAGCAGCUGCCGAGGCUCUUGCCAAAACGCCGCUUCACCAACACCCUGACACAGAAGCCCCAAGUCAGCGAGGGGGAGGCUCGGCUGGCCCCAGCAGCUGUGAGGCUUCCCAACACCCAGACAGGGCACAGGAGCGCCACGUCGGCAGCUUCCAAGCGGUUCUCUCCCAUGAGCCCCCUUGGCCUCCACAUCUGGACAGAUGGCCACCUGGAAUUGCACCAGAAAAUGACACAAUGGCAAUCAACAGCCACUUGCCCUAACUGCCACCCCCAUCCCAGGAAGUGAGGAGGCCUUUGAAGGCCUGUCUCUGCUUGUAGAGGGAGCUCCAAGGUCAGGGUGAGCUCCGCGGCCACAUCUGUCUGGGCUUGCUUAGAGAGGAGCCAGGGCCUCCCAGAGGAGCGGAGCUGCGAGAUGGGCUGGGGGCUCUCAAGGGGACACUGGGAAGCUCUCUGGGCACCCGCAAUUCCUGCACUCCCAAAGUCGUUGUCCUACCCCUGUCUACGGGUGAGCCUCAGACCUAUUGCUCUCUUCCUGCCUAGGACAAGAGGCCGCUCCCUCCUGAAGGAGGUCCCGAGCUGCCGAGGCUCUCUCUGGACUUGCACAAUAGUGAGUCAGCUUCCAGAUCCCCAGUAGCCUCAGGGGCCUGGACUCGAGUGAGCCAGGAGUGGGGGAAACCAGGCGGCCAUCUCCUCUGCCUCCAACCUUGCAGCCCCAGGGGAAGAAGGACCAGGUGUGUCCGCCGGGCAGUUAUGAAACCUGAGAAGCUGGAGUGGCUUUGGGCUGGUGCUUAGAGAACAGGCGGGUAUUGUGGGGUUGGGCGCAGAGGGGGUAUAGAAUACCCAUCAGUUCACGCACAAACACGAUCCCAGCCUGCGCAGAGGGAGGGAGGGCCUUCCAGGAGACUGCUGCUUUCAAACUGGAAUGGAAAAAGGAAGGUCGCCCCUAUGAGGGUGCUGGUGACCCACACCCAGAAGAAAGGAGGCCCUGGAGCCAAGAUGGAUGUUUCCCAGCCCUCACCCCUAUCAUAUGACAGUUCCACAGACCUCAACUCACAUGCCUGAGACAACAUCUCUGGGAUACAGAAAUUCCAUUGGUCAGUGAUGAAAGAAGAAUGUUUUCCUGAACAGUUUGGUGGGGAGAGUGACAAUGGAGCAAGAGGCUGGUAGAGCUGGGGGACCACGGCUCCCAGAGCUGACUGGGGAAGGAGACAGGGCAGGCACCUCAUCAGUCAUUCUUUCCCCACCUGUCCUGCCACAUUCACCCAGUGCGUUCAGCUGUUUCAGCUUGGUAGGUCUCCCUUUCUCCCUUCACUUACUGCCAUGAAGGCUGUGGUUAUCAGUGUCCUGGUUCCUGCAGCCCCGGUGGCCACACGAAGCUCCGAGGCCAGUCCCCUCACCCUGUGGCCUCUAGAAGGAAUAAAGUCAAGACCUUCCUCACCAUGUUUCUAGUCAUCACCACCCACUCCAAUGCCCUCUGUCCCAGCCAGUCAUUCUAGGCCUCUCUGCCACUAAGAUCACCAUAUUCCAGGUACUCCAAUCUCCCCAGGGAAAGGGCUGCAUCUGCUCCCUAAAUGCUUGUCUGUGUCUUUGCUCACGCCCUCACGUAGUAUCCGAAAGCCCGACCAUGCUGUCUGUCAUACUCUGACCUUUAUCUUCAAGAUCCAGCUCCUCCGUGUGGCUUUUCCUGAUUGCUGCCCCCAAUUAACCUAUCCCUUCUCUGCUCAGCAGAAUUUUGUGGCUUGAUCGUAAACACCGCUUAUUAUAGUUAGUCGUGCAUGCAGACAUUGCCUUCUUCGUGCUAUGUCCGCUCCCCCUCCCCUCACAAAACCAGGUGAGUGCCAGGUAGACGCUCAGGAUGUGCUGAUUGACUUGUUGGACUGAAUAACAGAGGACACGACAGCUGUAAUCAAUCAGGAAUCCACAGUCACCAUUUCCCAGGCCACCGGGAGAGUUUCCACAGCAGAGCCUGCAGCUGAGCGGAGAUGUCAUCUGAUUUAUUAAUUAACGCAAACGCCGUUCAUCCAAUGCUCUGGGGCAUGGUUAAAAAAAAUCCAGAACAUUUAGAAAAUGAUAAAAAUAACACUUAUUAGCUUAGAAAUAACUGACUUAGUCUCAGCCUUUUAGUCCCAGCAUCGAUCCCCUGUCGCCAGCCCCCAGCCCCUUGGUCUCCCCGACCCAUGGGGUGUCCCCUUUUCCCACCUUCCCCACAGCGCUGCUUUGGUGAUUACCAGAAUUCCUGCCAGGGAUUGCUAAUUGGGUUAAUGGAGUGACUGUGUAAUUGUUC
ensembl:lncRNA